AGUCAAUGCAAAACUCAGAUGUCUUCCACCUCUACUUAUCUGACUGCAGAGAGGAGGACAGAGGACAGUGGACACACAGUUUAACAUGAUGGACUAUAGGACAGGACUGCUGCUUUUAACCAUCUGCUGCUGGACAGGUGUUGAUGGUCAGACUCUGACAGAAUCUGAACCAGUGAUUAAAAGACCUGGAGAAUCCCACAGACUGACCUGUACAGCCUCUGGAUUCACACUCAGUAGCUACGAUAUGCACUGGGUCAGACAGGCUCCUGAAAAAGGACUGGAGUGGAUCGCAUGGAGUGAUGAUGGUAGCAGCACCAAAUCCUACUCUCAGUCAGUUCAGGGCCGGUUCACCAUCUCCAGAGACAACAACAGACAGCAGCUGUAUCUGCAGAUGAACAGUCUGAGGACUGAAGACUCUGCUGUGUAUUACUGUGCCAGAGAGCCACAACAACACAAACCAUCAGUAGACCUGAACAAAAACCCCUCAGUGCCUGAACACUUGUAACAUGAAGCCACCAGA